GAGCUAAAGCGCAGAUAACUCUCCUUGUACAUCCAAACGACCAACGGUUGCACGUUGGUGAUGAGAAACCACUGGCGUAUAUCGAACUUUGUGUGGUGUAUAAUCAAGGGACGUUCUGCAAGAGAGAGUUGUGGAAAAUUUCCAAAUUUGAAUUACGCAAAUAUUUAUCUAUGGUCCAGCAGUAUGAAUCACUGGCAAUAACGGAUAUUCCCCCACAUGAAAAUAUAAUCGGAUAUGCGUAGAUCUACACAACCAACACCUAGAACCUGACGUACUACGCUAAUUAAAUGUGCCUGAUUCCAUUCAUUGGUCGGGCCAUUUAGUAUUUACCUUUAAAAUCAUAAACAAUCGUAUCUAAACAAAUCGAUUUUAUGAAUAAUACAAAUCCAUCAGCGGACAGUUCAAAAAUGGACAAUUCGAAUUAAGACGAAUUUGCCGCAAUUCACAAAAUUAACGGCAUUAAACAUACACACCUACAAGCAAAACACAUGCGCAUUUGUUGCUUCCGGCUUUCGAAAUCAGCAAUGUAAACAAAACGAAGAAAAGUCGAUGGCAAAAAACGGAACGAAAGACGAGGCAAUACAUAAUAAUAUUAAAUCUGAGAGAGCAUAUUGAAAGCGGAAAGCAAUUUGUGGUGAAGAAAUGCUAUUUUCGCCGCGAAAACAGAGACAGAAGAGAGCGCGCCGCCAAAAUGAGCAAAUAAGUAGAAAGAGAGAGUAUAAGCGCAUAAUAGAGUAGUGAGAAGUGUAAAUAAAAGAAAGCUAGUUGAAAUGCUAGCCGGUGUGAGGCGAAAGCUUAGAAACAGCUGAUGACGCGUUGUAAACAAAUAAAAAGUUACACAUACGCCGUGUGCAUGCGCUCACAUGGACUGACAGCUGGUGGUUAUGUAUUUGGAUGUGUGUUUGAAUGAAAUGUGUGUGCUAAACAAGAAUUUAUGUUUGCUUUGGAGAGCAAUUAUUUAUGGGAGUGCGCCCUCUGACAUACUCAAUCUCACAUUCUCUCAAUUUUUAUGCUUUCAACGCGCUCUGGCUCUCAGCGUCGCGCUAUAUUCGCUCGUUUGUAUUAUUUAUUUACGCCACGUGCUCGUGGCGUACUUCACUCGGCUGUCAUGCCUUUCACAUGACUUCGGGCAACGGCGCGACGAGCGCAUUUAACGCGCCUAAAAGUUGGCAUUGAUUUCAUACGCUCCACACCGACACACACACACACACACACUUGUUAAGCACCUAUUGUAGUUGUUUUUGGGUAGCAGCGUGAAAGGCGCGUCGUUUGUUGCUAUACGCUGCGCUGGAGGAGCGCACACACCACCGAAGGACAGCCGUUAUGUGUACAAUUGAAGCUUUGGCAGUCAGCUUAGCCUUGUCGAACGCGGCGAAUGCCCGUCAGUGUUGCUGCAACAGCGAGUUGUGCAAAAGCUGCAGCAGUCAAAGUGUAAACGCUAAGUGAAGUGGAGACAAGUUUGCAGUGGAAAUUAAAUAAUUUUAUAAGUGAGUGGAAAAAAUUAAUAAAAUGUUGUAAUGUUGUUGUUGCUAAUAUAUUUUGCAUAGCAGAAAAGUUAGAAGCGUGCGUUUAAAAAGUGCCUUGGCUAUUAGCAAUAAAAGUAAAUGAAAGGAGUUGGGCAGCAAAGA